CUGUCAUCGCUUCUGGUGCCUGAUCGAUAUUGGUAGUGUACUCUUGUUCCUUGCAGCCUGUGAACUGAAUCAUCAAUCCUUCCCAUUUAUAAAGGCUACUCCAGCAGUGGGGGUACGUACCAGGGUUAGCUCAGUUUGUUGAGUAAUUAAUUUGACAUGGUCUCCCUAAUGGCCUGCAGAUUCCAUUAUCCAAAAGCCCGGUUCCCAGUUCCAUACCAAUUUGACAUUCCUUUCAGAAGCGCUAAAGCGACAAAGGAGGUAACAAUAGCCCACAGCCCAUAUGUGUUUGCUUGAGAGACCUUAUUUCACAAUUGAUCGUUGGUUCAGCUUAUGGGUUGUCCAACUUUUCCUUUUCUUAACAUGUCUGACAAACUUAGUACUACCCUUACAUGCGGCGAAAUGCCGUAACUUCAGCAAUCAAUCAAUGAGUUAAAAGGCAGUGAGUAUGGGGAAAGCUAGUAGAAUGAAACCGAAGAAACAGAUUGCUGUUCAACAUAUAUAUAAUCAUUCUCAAGCCCAUGUCAAGUAGCUCACCGCGUAAUGCUGUGAGAUGAUUAUGCGAUUAUGUUCAUUCAUCCUAUGUGUCAAGCCCUUGAUGAUGCGCAUAAUACUCUUGUAAAGAACCUACUUCCUAGCCAUACUAUUAGCCGUAUGCCCUUCUAGCCAUACUUUUCCUCUGUUUUUCUGCUUGAUACCUUACUAAUUGUAAUGGAGGUCAUUUAGCUAAGGGGGUUGUUCGAGUGUUUAUUCAUUCAUUUUUGUGUAUAUCAAGCAUGUGCCUUUCCUUUUUAGUCAUUAUUGAUUUAUUGGGGAACCUCUUACGCCUUUUUUAUAUGUAUUUCCCCUGCAUCUGUUCCUGCAAAAAAGCUGUAGGUGUUACCGUCCACAACAGGGAAAAAAACAUGUAUCACUGGAAAUAUAGAAACCAAAUUAAUUGUCCAGAACUGACCGCGUAUUAUUUAUUUGCUUAACUUAUGCAAGUUUCAUUACUUUUGGUUCUUUUUUGAAUGGUUAAAACUUAAAAUAGUACUUGAACCACAGUUGAUCACCCCACAAGUGCAUCUUUGCUUCGGAAAGGAAGUAGUUAAUGGAGAGUUAAUACGCGUCAUCUUUUCUGCACUUGUUCAUCUUUGCUUCUGCACUUAGUCAUCUUCCCAGGCUGUUAUGCAUACUUGUUUGCCGCAUAACCACCGUACUGCACUUUAAUUUGUUGGACACAUACAAGACAUAUGCAGCUGUGUUCAGUUGAUCUAAAAAAUUAAAAUAGUAUAAUUAGCAUUUAACCACAAAGGUGUAGCUUUCCAGAGUAUAGUAGAAGGGAAAAGCUGAAAGGCACUAAUCACUAGUUGCUAGUCCCCCUCUCGCAUCCUACAAAGUAGAACUAAUGAUGAUGCGGUGUUCCUAAUGACAUUUAUUUUUCACUUUUGACUCUGUAUUGUUGGACUGAUUUGGUUGCUGUCAGAUGAUAUUUAUGUCAAAGAAGUAAGUUGUUGUAUGCACAUACACAGGUCCCCUGAGUAAUCUUUUCUUUCCUGAAGAAGAAUUGAUUACAGGAGUUGGUUUGUAAAUAUGCUCUAGCUGUGUGUACGUAAGGGAGAAGAAGCGAGUAAAGUGGAUAGUAGCUAGGUUGGGUUGGUCCAGAAAGAAAAGAAGAGAGAUGAGAAUGUGAUCAUUGUAAAGCAAGUGUUUUCUGGCUGUUUUUUUUUU
rnacentral:lncRNA from 1 species